ACCUCCAGUCCGGGCCGUCUCGGUGUCCACAAUAAAGACAGGAAACCAUUCGUGAGCGUCCUAGACGUGAGCCCCGCGCCAAAAAAUAAUAAUAAUAAUAAUAACGGGGUGGGGAGAGAAAGUGACCUGAAAUUAAUGAGCCAAGGGCCCAGCGAGCAUCCUUCCCGCCCCCAAACCCAAGCCUCUGGAACUCAGACCACCUGGAAAUGGUCCUUCUGGAAUAGUGGAUGGGAUCCAGGGAGCUCCAUUCAUCUGUUCAGCAAAUGUAAGUGCCAACUACAUUCCGUGUGCUGAAUUCUGAAACCUACAGUCAGAGUUCCUACACUCAAGAUGCUUAAAAUUAUACUUGCUAUUUGAAGAUCCUCCAAGAUGAGGGCUUGAGAAAUAGACAGUUAGAACAGGAAAGAGCACAGUGCCCCUGGGUGUGCGUGCUGUCUCACAGUCAUGUCAGACUCUUUGUGACCCCAUGAAUUGUAGUCCGCCAGGUUCCUCUGUCCGUGGGAUUUUUCAGGCAAGGAUACUGGAGUGAGCUGCCAUUUCCUCCUCCAGGGGAUCUUCCCAACCCAGGGACUGAACCCUAGUCUCCUGCGUUGGCAGAUGCGUUCUUUACCACUGAGCCAUCAGUGAAGCCCCUAUGAUGAACCUAAAGCGUAGGUUAAGCGAAUGUGAUCUGUUGGAUGUAGGGUCCAAGAUCUUUGUCUUUUAACAUGCGAAAUUCUCAGGACAUGUGUACACGAGGAGGAUUAACAUGAAAUCAGAAGAAAACUUACCACCGACACUGCAGUUUAAAAGGUACUUACUGCCUCAAUUAAAGGAAAUGGCUGGCAGGCUCCUUUAAUCCAACUAACCUACAAUAGAGUGUUUGUUUUUUUUUAACAUGCUCAAGGAUCAUAAAUUUUACUCAGUCUUUUAUAGCCUUUGGCAGAGUGCCAAGGCUUAUUAAGAAAUUGCAGAAGCCAUAAAUAUAAAAAAUGUACAAAUUCUCCCUUGAGUAACCACGUGAAUGCUUCCAACAACAUGUCCAAAGCCAUUUUUCCCUUCUGUGAAGUUGUUAUAAAAUGUACUUAGCACAAAUCUACAUCUGCUGCUCUAGACUGAUUUACAGCAAAAUUUUAAAUUAAUGUAUUUUUAAAGACAUUUGCAAAAAAGGAAUAAAUGUGAAUAAACUCUAAAUCUGAAUCAUAGUCAUCUGGUUGUGCUAUAAAUUUUAAAUAUCAAUUAAAAAAAAAACAAAAACCUGAGCCAGCUCUGCUCCCUAAUUCAGCGUCCGUCCUUCAGGCAUGCUAUUUAAGGCAUGUGUUUUCGUUAGAAAAGACCUUUCUAGGAAUAUGCGUGUGUGUGUGUGUGUGUGUGUGUGUGCA